AUAAACUUAUGUGUUUUGUUUAUCUCAAUCUUCUUCUAAACUCUAAAAUUGAAAUCCUCAAUUCUCAUAAACCCUAAAUUUACCAAAUAAAAAAUAUGAUAUGAUAAAUAUGAUUUUAAAAUUCCAGUUUGCUUUUAACAAAUUAGAAACACGGAAGAGAUUUUAAAACCUGUAAAAAAUGUUGUCUUCGGCUAUAUUGGGGAAUUGGUGUGUUGAACUCAUUUGAAUUAAUAGAGAUUUUAAGUAAUUCUUUGACCCUGAAGAGCAAACUUGACUGGGGCAUCAUCAAUUAUAGGAGGCACAUACAUAUUAGAAGUUGUGAUGUUGACGCACUUGCACAGUUGCACUUGCUUUCAAUUUCGAACAAUUUGUGGCUUUUAAUAAUCCAAAAUUCGUGAUACAUCUUGAGUUAGUUGUGGAUUUUUUUAUUUGAUAAAUUUAGGGUUUAUAAGAAUUGGGGAUUUCAAUUUUAGAGUUUGGAAGAAGAUUGAGGUAAACAAAACACAUAAGUCUAUGGAAUUUUGAGGUGUAUUUGAAUGUAUUUUGUUAUUGGGUAAUGGAGAAGAUGAUAAAGAUGAUGAAGGAGAUGAUGAACAUGAUGAAUGUUCUAUGAUUUUUUGGUUUUUAAAAUUUUCAAUAAAAAAAAAAGAUCAGAUUAUCCUAUGUGGCUUGCCACUUCAUCAUAUUUUCAAUAAAAAAUGUAAAAAAAAGGAUCAAUUCGUGAC
rnacentral:lncRNA from 1 species